ensembl:lncRNA
CUUGUGUUCUGGUUCUGCAGUGAGGGGCGGCUGACAGCGUCCGGUAAUCUCUGAGAGAUUUACCGCAGACGAAGCAUGAAGUUGUUUCGAGCCGUUUAUUCCCGCUUCAGGUGCUUCGCUGCUGCGCGCACUGAUUUUCUGAGAGAUUUACAUCAGACGAAGGUUAGUAUAAAAACAUAAAACCAUUUAAAUUCUGCACAUUCUGCUCAUCUGAUUUCAGAGUCUCCCAACACUGCAGCUGACUCCUGAUUCACCGGAGACAGCCUUGGAGGAGAAAUGGUCAAAUAUCAAAUGUUGCCAUUCUUUUGGAAAACUGCUGGUCUUUAAAGAACAGUCAUUAAUCAGGAGAAACAUUUUCAGGUAAUCCAACCAAUUAGCAUCAGAGGAAGUCUGUAUAUCACCGCUUUUCUCACCUCCAUUCCCAGACGACAGCAGGGCAAAUAUACUUAUUCUGUCUAUUAUAUAUACAUAUGUGACCUUGUGAACUGCUGUAUAGUUCAGCUAAAGUAACCGACUGUUUUCAUUACAUUUGUAUUAUCAUGUUGUUUCAUCAUUCUAACGUGUUUAAACAAUGAAAACUGUACAAUGUAUUUAUAGAAAGUGUGUUUUAUUAUAUUUUUACUGGAUCCUCUAUUCCCAGACCCAACCAUUCAUCUGAAGGACUGUAAAAAUAUGAACCCUUUGAACCACCGGUGACAGUUUCCACAUGAUAAAUAGAAAGGACAUGGCAGAGGAUGAAAGGGGUAUUGAUAUUUCACUGAAAUUAAAUAUCAUUUAAUUACAUUUAGUCUGCUAGUCAGAAUUAUAGCUGAUUAAAUAAAAAUAAAUAGUGGUUCAUAUUUGAUUUGGGAUAGUGGUUCAUGAGUCCUUUGUCCUGAACAGUUUAAAUGGCCGCUUUUCUUCAGAAAAAUCCUCCAGAUCCUUCACUUUCUCAGGUUUUCCAGCAUCUUUUGCAUAUUUGAACCCUUUCCAGCAAUGAAUGAAUGAUUUCAGAUCUCUUUUUUUACACUGAGGACAACUGAGGGACUCAUACACAACUAUUUCAAAAGGUAAAUGCAUUUAUUGAUUUUCAAGAAAGCAACACAAUUUAUUAAGAGAGACAGGGUGUGAACUACUUGAAUUGGAUGAUCAGGGAAAACUACUAUUUUUUUCUGAAAAUCAGUAUUAAAAAAGUAACUGUCCUGCAGAGUCUAGCUCCAACCCUAAUUAAACAGACCUGAAGCUAAUUAAGGUCUUCAGGAUUACUGGAAGGCCACAGGCAGGUGAGUUUGAUCAGGGUUGGAGCAGAACUCUGCAGGGCAGUGGCCCUCCAGGACCGAGUUUGCUCAUCUCUGUGCUGGGGGUAUGUAAACUUAUGAACAUAUCAGUAACUUCUGGAGCUUCUGAAAGGCAGAAUUAAAAAAAAACAUGGCAUGGUCCUGAUGGUGCCAUUAGAGUUGUAGAAUAUGUGUGUGUGUCUGUCUGAUUGAGAGAGCAGUAAUCACUGUCCUGACUUUGCAGUGUCCAUUGCAAGUGUAUUCUUUAUUGUGUUUGUCUUUUGAUUAGUAUACAUUUUUUGUUUCUUUUUCAAAAA